AGCCUUACGACAUAGUGCCAGUUGCUGCCCAGAGUCCUGGUACCAACUGACACUUUCCCACCAUGGGCCUCACCUUCUCCAGCUCAGUGUUAUUAAAUCUACUUUCUGCCAACCCAGUGGGCAUAGAUGGAAUCUCACUGAGAUCUAAUCUGCUUUUCCUUGAAGGUCCAAACCUUUUUCUUGCUUAUUGAGCAGCCACGAUCUUCUCUGAACGCCCAUUCAUUCCUUCUGGUAACCAGGAUGUAGGUGUUCUUUGUAUGGUGUGGGUGCUGGUCUUUGUCGAUGUGUUUAUUGCAGUUCUCUUCUCCCAGUUUUUGACUUGUGUUUUCAUUUUCUUUAUGUUGACCAGCACAGUUCAUUGAAGAAUCCUUUCCUUCCACACUGACCUGCAAUGCCAUUUCUACCGCACGUCAGACUCCCGUCUAUCGCCUGUGCGGCCCACGGAUCUGCUUCUGAGCUCCUACACCACAUCAUUGUCAGUCUGUCCGUCCCUCUGUUGGUUUCUCACUGUCUUAAUCAUCACAGUCUUAGGCUUGUUCCAGCAUCAACAUUUACAGUCGGAACCCACGGUGAAUAGUGAGCCAGAGAAACCGACACUUCCUGAGCCGCUUCUUAACGCCAGGCACAGCACUAAGUCGUUCUCUUGUGUUAUCUCAUUUGAUCCUCACAACACCACCAGGAAACUGACGCUCAGAGAGGCACAUUCAUUCUGAAGAUCACACGGCAGACUCUGGACACAAAGGAGGCAGAGGGUUAACAUCUUCUUAAGAGCUUCCAGAGGCUGCCCCUCACCUGGGAGUAAAACGCAGACUCCUCCCUGCAGUCUGUGAGGCCCUAACACGCCCCGCGCCUGCCUCCCUGGGAUUCUUCCUGUUUCCCCCACUCUCUGUGGCCCUGCCCUGCGGGCAAGGCCUCGGCCCAGCUCGCUCCCACAGUGUGUAAGGGGCUGUGCUCUCCUGUGCAGUCAUCUGAAAGGCCACCUCCUCAGAAAGGCAUUCCGAACCUCUGUAGCUAAAGUCCCACCUCCUCUGUUUUCCAUGGUCUUGUUCCGCUUUCUUCAUGG
ensembl:lncRNA